rnacentral:rRNA from 1 species
GUGGGGAAUAUUGGACAAUGGGCGCAAGCCUGAUCCAGCCAUGCCGCGUGAGUGAUGAAGGCCCUAGGGUUGUAAAGCUCUUUCGCCAGGGACGAUAAUGACGGUACCUGGAUAAGAAGCCCCGGCUAACUUCGUGCCAGCAGCCGCGGUAAUACGAAGGGGGCUAGCGUUGUUCGGAAUCACUGGGCGUAAAGCGCACGUAGGCGGAUCUUUAAGUCAGGGGUGAAAUCCCGAGGCUCAACCUCGGAACUGCCUUUGAUACUGGAGGUCUCGAGUCCGGGAGAGGUGAGUGGAACUGCGAGUGUAGAGGUGAAAUUCGUAGAUAUUCGCAAGAACACCAGUGGCGAAGGCGGCUCACUGGCCCGGAACUGACGCUGAGGUGCGAAAGCGUGGGGAGCAAACAGGAUUAGAAACCCUAGUAGUCC